rnacentral:lncRNA from 1 species
GGCCUUGGUGAGCCAGCUGCUGCUGGCGGGAAGCCGGGCAGAGGGGGCUGCCGGAGACGGGGAGCCACAGUCACGCUGGAGAGCCAGGAGAGGGUCAAAACGGGCCCUGCCCAGAUGGGGCCGGAGUGGACGGAGAAGAGCCUGGGGACUCGUCCCAGAGGGCAGCAGUGACUCACUGAGCAUCUACCAUGGCUCUUAGCAGGACCCAGAGGUGCCACUAACCCAGUCCUGGUCCCCAGCGACCCUGGGGAGGAGCUUAACCUCGCUUUGCAGGAGUGAGGCGCAGAAACAGGAGUGCCGGGGAGAAAUAGAAAGGACCUGUAUUUCCUGGAGCCGGACUCAGUUCUACACGCCUCUUCUCUGCCGUUUCAAGGCCAGCCUCAUCCUCCCGGUGGAGACUGGGGAAUGGAAACAGCCUGCCUUGCUGGGAAGCAACUGGCUUGCAGCCCCUCCCUCUGCUCUCAGCUUUUCUGCUGCCAGAAGACGGGUGUCACACUGUGUUAUCACGGCAGGAGUCACAUGGAAGCUCACCCCUGCUUGGCAUCUACUUCAGGUGAGGCGUCAUGGGCACAAAAGGACCAGAGCCUGGACGUAGGGAGGACAGACCUCUUUCUGCGCACUGACAGCCUGCCCAGCCCUUCUCGAAGUCCUCCUGCAGGGCCAGUUGAGUCUCCAUCCUUGCUUCUCUCCUCCUGCCCUUCCUGCCUAGCAGCACCAACGUCUGCUUCUCCCUGACCCCUGGAUAUUCCGUGGACCUCUGAGAACACUCUCCACUUUGCGCCCCCAUAUCCCUGCCCAGUGGAGUCUACCCUAUCCCUCACUCCUGACCCCCAGCCUCCAAGGAGAGGUCAGCAGAGAGCUCACCUUCUGCUGCCACCAUCUCCCCGUGAAGAUGAUGUGGACUUGGUGCAGUGCUCAAGAAAGUGUGGAUCCAGGUGUGGCUAAGUGCCCGGAACAGGGCAGGAGAGGCUGAUCAUGCGAGAGCACAGUGCUGUAUCUGUGCCCAGGGAGCCAGCUGCUCCUGGCAUGGCCAAAAGUGUCCAGAGCUUCCCCACAGCGGGAAGCUGUGAAGAAGGGCCCCGGCAUUGGCCCCAGAAGCUCAAAGGGGCAUGGUCUCCCUCUAAAUGAGAAGAAACGCCAAGUUUCAGUUAAUCAUCCCAGAGUUCAGUGUCAGAGGAGACUGACUGUGAUUUGGUGUUUUUAUUUAAGCAUUGCUUUGCACUGUUUCCUUUCUUGUUGGUGUGUCUCAGGGUGAUUACUAAUAAAUUUUGCUAUUAUUUUAAUAUUGUGUGAUAUAAUUUUUUUUAUUGGUAAUAGUGUGUUUUGUGAACCUUGUUAAAAUUUUGAUGUUUCUGUUGAUGAUACUUCUGGAACAUAGAACCCUAGGCCUCUGCAGCCAAACUCGGGAACCACCUUUCCUGUAAAACUCCAGGCUUACAAAUGCAGAUCAGUGCAGAGCUGCAGGAAAUAAAAAGAAGCUAAAAUAGGCACCGGGGGCCUGGAGUAGAGCAAGGAAGGAGGGACAGAGGAAGCGCCUGGGGAAACGCUGCGAGGGACAGGGCCUGGGGAGACUUUCAAGGGCAGGUAGGGUACUCAUGGCCCACUUGGAGUGAGACAGACUGGGACCUGGGACCUGGGACCCUUUGUUUCAGUGCUUGUACCUGAACACAAGUCUCCCCCAGCAACAAAAUACAAAGAAAACUAUGAUGGACUAAAGGUAGCUGUAUGCCUGUGCACAGUUCAGGCAAAUAAUGGACAAAAGGAUACAAAAAGGCCAAAACAUAAAGCAAAAAACAGAACGCAACUCCUACUCUGAGGAUCCAGAAGCGAAAACAGGGGGUCAGGAGUAAAAAGCAGGUUACUGCCCAUGAGCAUGACCCUUGCAUUCAAUACCAACCAAAGGGAUGGGCAAACUCCCUAAGCCACUCCUUUGGCCCGACCCUUGGACACACUCCUCUUCUCACCCCAUAUGAGGAACCAGCUCACCCUCCCUCAGCGAGCAAGCAAGGGAACCUGUUACUUGUUCUCACUACCCCCAGUAAAGCCUUGCCUGAGUUUCU